rnacentral:rRNA from 1 species
GCUCAGAAUCAACGCUGGCGGCGUGCCUCAGACAUGCAAGUCGAACGAUUAAACUCUCCUUCGGGAGAGAUAUAAAGUGGCGCACGGGUGAGUAACACGUAGGUAAUCUACCUUUGAGUGGGGAAUAACUACCGGAAACGGUGGCUAAUACCGCAUAAUGCAGCGGCACCUAAUGGUGACAGUUGUUAAAGGAGCAAUCCGCUUAAAGAGGAGCCUGCGGCAGAUUAGCUAGUUGGUAAGGUAAUGGCUUACCAAGGCUACGAUCUGUAACCGACCUGAGAGGGUGGUCGGUCACACUGACACUGAAUAACGGGUCAGACUCCUACGGGAGGCAGCAGUCGGGAAUUUUGGGCAAUGGGCGAAAGCCUGACCCAGCAACGCCGCGUGAAGGAUGAAAUCUUUCGGGAUGUAAACUUCACAAGAACGGGAAGAAUAAGUGAGGCUUAAUACUCCUUACGAUGACGGUACUGUUUGUAAGCUCCGGCUAACUCCAUGCCAGCAGCCGCGGUAAUACGGGGGGAGCAAGCGUUGUUCGGAUUUACUGGGCGUAAAGGGCGCGUAGGCGGCGCAACAAGUCACUUGUGAAAUCUUCAGGCUUAACCUGAAGCGGCCAAGUGAUACUGUCGUGCUAGAGUGCGGAAGGGGCAACUGGAAUUCUUGGUGUAGCGGUGAAAUGCGUAGAUAUCAAGAGGAACACCUGCGGCGAAGGCGGGUUGCUGGGCCGACACUGACGCUGAGGCGCGAAAGCUAGGGGAGCGAACGGGAUUAGAUACCCCGGUAGUCCUAGCCUUAAACGAUGAAUGCUUGGUGUCCGAGGUUUGAUAGUCCUCGGGUGCCGUCGCUAACGCUUUAAGCAUUCCGCCUGGGGAGUACGGUCGCAAGACUGAAACUCAAAGGAAUUGACGGGGACCCGCACAAGCGGUGGAGCAUGUGGUUUAAUUCGACGCAACGCGAAGAACCUUACCUAGCCUAGAAUGCCUCUGACAGCUCUGGAGACAGAGUCUCCCUGGGAAACCAGGGCAGAGUGCAAGGUGCUGCAUGGCUGUCGUCAGCUCGUGUCGUGAGAUGUUGGGUUAAGUCCCGCAACGAGCGCAACCC